ACUUGUUCAAUCACCCAAAUGGUAGAAGUUAAAGAGAACCCAAGAAAGAUAAAUGAUAUCCCUUGAACCCAAUCCAAACAAGCACCAAGAACAAUUGAAAUAGGAAAUUAAAAUUGAAUAGAAGUGAUAACAAGUGUAUUCCAAAUCAACACCUUGUGUAUAAAGUGAAAAGAAACCCAAAACGUUCUCAACUCAAUUCUGAAAUUUUGGAUUACAACUCUUGAUGUCCACAAAGAAGAGUUCCUU
rnacentral:lncRNA from 1 species